GCCUAGCUUGGAGGGUAGAGCAUCUGCCUUGUAAGCGCUAGGCCGCGGGUUCGAUUCCUGCCCGGGGCG
rnacentral:tRNA from 1 species